UUAGAUAAUGACAGGAAAAAAUAUCUCUGCAGCUGUGACAGGAUUAUUGAGUUAUUUGUGAAUCCCCCUCAUUCUUACAAGAAGGGCUGUAUUCACUUCACUGACUUUGAGAGAGAGAAGGAGGUAGUGAAGACAUAAGACUUGAAUUUGUUCCAAUGUCUGCUAAAAACUUCUGGCUUAGCUGCUGUUUCAGAGUAACUGGUUUUGUAUUCAUUAACACUGUGCAACAUCUUCCACUGGCAUGGUACAGACUGUACUACCCAAAGGAAGAAGAAAAGAAGAUUGAAAUACCAGUCAUCUGUAGCAAAGGGACUGAUGCUACUGUCUCUACCCUCCUGCUCCUGUGCUGAGUGCCUUUUGAAGUCCAAGAACAAGCAGGACUUGGAAGACCAUUCAGAUUAAUCUCCAUCUUCUCCACUUCAUCAUUUCCUUCUUAUGCAGCUCCUUGCUGUGUUUCCAGCUGAAAUCCCCCAGUGUUCCCACGCAGCAGCAGCAGCUCCCCAGCUCUGCCACCAGCUGUUGUCUGGCACCAUGACGUGAUGAGGCCCCAGCUGGACACCAUAGGUCUCCUGAGGGCUAAUUUCACACCAUGACUGCCUCCUCCUUUCUCCAAGGGAGGCCUGGGCAGAAUCCUGCCAUGAUUCUAGCAGGUACAGCAAUAGCAUAAUCUCUGCAGGACUGCUGAGGUGUUACACAAGAAGUAGCAUCUGAACAGGCAUCUCCUGGAUAGCUCAUACCCUGCUGUACCCACACACAGCCCUGCCUUCUCAUCUAUAG
ensembl:lncRNA